rnacentral:tRNA from 1 species
GGUCUUAUAUUCAUGAGUGAUAAUAGAAUGCAAUUCUGUAGGGGUAGUUUUAUUUACUACUAAGGCUU